rnacentral:rRNA from 1 species
AUUGAACGCUGGCGGCAUGCCUUACACAUGCAAGUCGAACGGUAACAGGUUAAGCUGACGAGUGGCGAACGGGUGAGUAAUAUAUCGGAACGUGCCCAGUCGUGGGGGAUAACUGCUCGAAAGAGCAGCUAAUACCGCAUACGACCCGAGGGUGAAAGCGGGGGAUCGCAAGACCUCGCGCGAUUGGAGCGGCCGAUGUCAGAUUAGGUAGUUGGUGGGGUAAAGGCCUACCAAGCCUACGAUCUGUAGCUGGUCUGAGAGGACGACCAGCCACACUGGGACUGAGACACGGCCCAGACUCCUACGGGAGGCAGCAGUGGGGAAUUUUGGACAAUGGACGCAAGUCUGAUCCAGCCAUGCCGCGUGCGGGAAGAAGGCCUUCGGGUUGUAAACCGCUUUUGUCAGGAAAGAAAAGGUUCUGGUUAAUACCUGGGACUCAUGACGGUACCUGAAGAAUAAGCACCGGCUAACUACGUGCCAGCCGCCGCAGUAACAC